CCGGCACGGGUGAGUAACACGUAUCCAACCUGCCGUCUACUCUUGGACAGCCUUCUGAAAGGAAGAUUAAUACAAGAUGGCAUCAUGAGUCCGCAUGUUCACAUGAUUAAAGGUAUUCCGGUAGACGAUGGGGAUGCGUUCCAUUAGAUAGUAGGCGGGGUAACGGCCCACCUAGUCUUCGAUGGAUAGGGGUUCUGAGAGGAAGGUCCCCCACAUUGGAAUUGAGACACGGUCCAA
rnacentral:rRNA from 1 species